rnacentral:rRNA from 1 species
UACGAGGGGGGCAAGCGUUGUUCGGAAUUAUUGGGCGUAAAGGGUGCGUAGGCGGUUUGGUAAGUCUUAUGUGAAAUCUACAGGCUCAACUUGUAGUCUGCAUGAGAAACUGCCGGGCUUGAGUAUGGGAGAGGUGAGUGGAAUUCCAGGUGUAGCGGUGAAAUGCGUAGAGAUCUGGAGGAAUACCGGUGGCGAAGGCGGCCCCCUGGACAAAGACUGACGCUCAGGUGCGAAAGCGUGGGGAGCAAACAGG